UACGGGGGGGCAAGCGUUGUUCGGAAUUACUGGGCGUAAAGGGCUCGUAGGCGGCCAACUAAGUCAUACGUGAAAUCCCUCGGCUUAACCGGGGAACUGCGUCUGAUACUGGAUGGCUUGAGUUCGGGAGAGGGAUGCGGAAUUCCAGGUGUAGCGGUGAAAUGCGUAGAUAUCUGGAGGAACACCGGGUGGCGAAGGCGGUUCUCUGGGCAUGAUCUGACGCUGAGGAGCGAAAGUGUGGGAGCG
rnacentral:rRNA from 1 species